AUUUAGGUAUAGCCUUGUUGGAUGAAUUGUGGUGGUAAAGUAACAGUCAUAGCUUUGGGGGCGCAAGCUUACCAGGCUUCAGCUAACUCUGAAUGCCAUAAUUUUUGAAAACAGGAGUCAGACUGUGGGGGAUAANNGCGUAACAGCUCACUGGUCAAGUAUUUUUGCGCUGAAAAACAAACGGGGCUAAACGUGCUACCGAAACUAUGGCUUGCAUAUCUGUUCGCAGAUAUGCAGGGGUAGGGGAGCGUUCUUUAAUAGAUACAAGCUUGACCGUAAGGACAGGUGAUGUGGAUUAAAGAAGUGAGAAUGUUGGUAUAAGUAACGAAAAAAUAGGUGAAAAUCCUAUUCGCCGAAAGUCUAAGGUUUCCGUGAGAACGGUUUAUCCACUCAGGGUUAGUCGAUACCUAAGCCGAGGCCAAUUGGAGUAGGCGAUGGAAAGCAGGCUAAAAAUUCCUGCACCACUCAUAAGCGUUUGAACGAAGGAGUGACGCAGUAGGAUAGGCUGACGUGGACUUUGGUUUGCCACGCUAAGCGUCGAGAAGGAUAUUGUAGGCAAAUCCGCAGUAUCAUUAACUUUGAGGCGUGAUGGGCAUACUAAUUUUUAGGAAGAAGUAUGUUUGGCUGAUUUCACACUGACUAGAAAAGCUUCUAGUGAGCUUUGUGAGUGAUCGUACCGUAAACCGACACAGGUAGACGGGCUGAGAAUGCUCAGGCGUUGAGAUAACUAUCACUAAGGAACUCGGCAAACUAGCUCCGUAACUUCGGGAUAAGGAGUGCCUAGAAUGUAUACUUGUUCUUUUAGGAUUAGGAAAGCGUUUUUAGGUUUCAACAAAGAGGCCCAAGCGACUGUUUAACAAAAACACAGGGCUCUGCGAACUCGUAAGAGGAAGUAUAGAGUCUGACGCCUGCCCAGUGCUGGAAGGUUAACGGGAGAUGUUAGUCUUCGGACAAAGCGUUGAACUGAAGCCCCAGUAAACGNNGUCCUAAGGUAGCGAAAUUCCUUGUCGGGUAAAUUCCGACCCGCAUGAAUGGCGUAACGAUUUGGGCGCUGUCUUGGUGAUAGACUCAGUGAAUUUGUAGUACCGGUGAAAAUGCCGGUUACCCGCGACAGGACGGAAAGACCCCGUGCACCUUUACUAUAACUUGGCAUUGCUUUCUGGAUUUGUUUGUGUAGGAUAGGCGGGAGACUUUGAUGCUAUGGCGCUAGCUGUAGCGGAGUCGACCUUGAAAUACCGCCCUUAGAAAUUUGGAAAUCUAACUUUGAAUUCCCGUAAACCGGGCAAAGGACAGUGUCUGGUGGGUAGUUUGACUGGGGUGGUCGCCUCCUAAAUUGUAACGGAGGCGUUCUAAGGUUCCCUCAUGACGAAUAGUAAUCGUCGGAAGAGUGUAAAAGCUGAAGGGAGCUUGACUGCGAGACAUACAGGUCGAGCAGGUGCGAAAGCAGGAUUUAGUGAUCCAGCUGUUCCGAAUGGAAGGGCAGUUGCUCAACGGAUAAAAGGUACGCCGGGGAUAACAGGCUUAUCUCCUCUGAGAGUCCCUAUCGACGAGGAGGUUUGGCACCUCGAUGUCGGCUCAUCGCAUCCUGGGGNNNNNNNNNNNNNNNNNNNNNNNNNNNNNNNNNNNNNNNNNNNAGCAUCUAAGCGGGAAGCCAACUCCAAGAUAAGAUAUCCCAUCUAUUUAUAGACUAAAGACCCCUUGAAGACUACAAGGUUGAUAGGCUGGGUGUGUAAGCACAGUAAUGUGUUCAGCUAACCAGUACUAAUAGGUCGAAUGUUUUA
rnacentral:rRNA from 1 species